UACGUAGGGCGCAAGCGUUGUCCGGAAUUAUUGGGCGUAAAGAGCUCGUAGGCGGUUUGUCGCGUCUGCUGUGAAAACUGGGGGCUCAACCCCCAGCCUGCAGUGGGUACGGGCAGACUAGAGUGCGGUAGGGGAGAUUGGAAUUCCUGGUGUAGCGGUGGAAUGCGCAGAUAUCAGGAGGAACACGAUGGCGAAGGCAGAUCUCUGGGCCGUAACUGACGCUGAGGAGCGAAAGCAUGGGGAGCGAACAGG
rnacentral:rRNA from 1 species